AUCUGAGCGUCUUAUUUUAAUAAGUCAAAACUUUCAACAACGGAUCUCUUGGUUCUGGCAUCGAUGAAGAACGCAGCGAAAUGCGAUAAGUAAUGUGAAUUGCAGAAUUCAGUGAAUCAUCGAAUCUUUGAACGCACAUUGCGCCCAUUAGUAUUCUAGUGGGCAUGCCUGUUCGAGCGUCAUUUCAACCCUUAAGCCUAGCUUAG
rnacentral:rRNA from 2 species